GACGUAGGAUGCGAGCGUCGUUCGGAUUUAUUGGGCGUAAAGCGUACGUAGGCGGCUGCCUAAGUCUGGUGUUAAAGCUAGAGGCUCAACCUCUGUGAUGCACUGGAAACUGGGCGGCUUGAGAGCGGUAGGGGAAGGUGGAAUUCCGAGUGUAGCGGUGAAAUGCGUAGAUAUUCGGAAGAACACCGGUGGCGAAGGCGACCUUCUGGGCCGUUUCUGACGCUGAGGUACGAAAGCGUGGGGAGCAAACAGG
rnacentral:rRNA from 1 species